rnacentral:rRNA from 1 species
CCUACGGGAGGCAGCAGUGGGGGAUAUUGCACAAUGGGGGGAACCCUGAUGCAGCGACGCCGCGUGGGUGAAGGAGUGCUUCGGCAUGUAAAGCCCUAUCGGCAGGGAAGAAGCAAGACGGUACCUGACUAAGAAGCCCCGGCUAACUACGUGCCAGCAGCCGCGGUAAUACGUAGGGGGCGAGCGUUAUCCGGAUUCACUGGGUGUAAAGGGAGCGUAGACGGCGAUGCAAGCCAGGGGUGAAAGCCCGGGGCCCAACACCGGGACUGCCCUUGGAACUGCAUGGCGGGAGUGCGGGAGGGGCAGGCGGAAUUCCAGGUGUAGCGGUGAAAUGCGUAGAUAUCAGGAGGAACACCGACGGCGAAGGCGGCCUGCUGGACCGCGACUGACGUUGAGGCUCGAAAGCGUGGGGAGCGAACAGGAUUAGAUACCCCGGUAGUC